CCCUAGCCCUGAUAGAAGCGAUAUCCUUACUGGUUUUUCUUUAAAAACAGUAAGAUACAAGCAAAUAGCAGGAAAUAGC
rfam:Flavobacterium frigoris strain DSM 15719 genome assembly, contig: Ga0131223_108